GCACAAGCGGUGGAGUAUGUGGUUUAAUUCGACGCAACGCGCAGAACCUUACCUAGACUUGACAUCCCGGGGAUUUUCUGGAAACAGAGAAGUGCUUUAGCAAUAAAGAACCCGGUGACAGGUGCUGCAUGGCUGUCGUCAGCUCGUGUCGUGAGAUGUUGGGUUAAGUCCCGCAACGAGCGCAACCCUCGCCUUUAGUUGCCAGCAUUCAGUUGGGCACUCUAGAGGGACUGCCGGUGUCAAACCGGAGGAAGGUGGGGAUGACGUCAAGUCCUCAUGGCCUUUAUGUCUAGGGCUACACACGUACUACAAUGGCCGGUACAAAGGGUCGCAAACCCGCGAGGGGGAGCCAAUCCAUCAAAGCCGGUCGUAGUCCGGAUCGCAGUCUGCAACUCGACUGCGUGAAGUCGGAAUCGCUAGUAAUCGUGGAUCAGCAUGUUACGGUGAAUACGUUCCCGGGUCUU
rnacentral:rRNA from 1 species